CGCACAGGUGCGUAACGCGUGGGAACCUGCCUUUAGGUUCGGAAUAACUCUCCGAAAGGGGUGCUAAUACCGAAUAAUGUCUUCGGACCAAAGAUUUAUCGCCUUUAGAUGGGCCCGCGUUGGAUUAGCUUGUUGGUGGGGUAAAGGCCUACCAAGGCGACGAUCCAUAGCUGGUCUGAGAGGAUGAUCAGCCACACUGGGACUGAGACACGGCCCAGACUCCUACGGGAGGCAGCAGUGGGGAAUAUUGGACAAUGGGCGAAAGCCUGAUCCAGCAAUGCCGCGUGAGUGAUGAAGGCCUUAGGGUUGUAAAGCUCUUUUACUGGGGAUGAUAAUGACAGUACCCAGAGAAUAAGCUCCGGCUAACUCCGUGCCAGCAGCCGCGGUAAUACGGAGGGAGCUAGCGUUGUUCGGAAUUACUGGGCGUAAAGCGCACGUA
rnacentral:rRNA from 1 species